UUCGGACUGGAGUCUGCAACCCGACUCCACGAAGUUGGAUUCGCUAGUAAUCGCGCAUCAGCCAUGGCGCGGUGAAUACGUUCCCGGGCCUUGUACACACCGCCCGUCAAGCCAUGGGAGCCGGGGGCGCCUGAAGUCCGGGACCGCGAGGACCGGCCUAGGGCGAAACUGGUAACUGGGGCUAAGUCGUAACAAGGUAAC
rnacentral:rRNA from 1 species